AGUACAUGAUGUACAGUUACAAGUCAUGUAUUUUUUGGCUGACUUUUUAUUUGUAGUUUACCUGAGUGUCCUUGCACUUUAUCAGGAGUUAAGGCAGAUGUGGAGGCACAACGGGUGAUACCAGACACACACCAAGCACAUUAUGUUCGGACAUUCAAUCAUGACAGGAUCCAUGUGGAUGCUGUCCAUUGAGAAAAGAGUUUGUUCAGCGGUUUCUGGAUAGAAUUAAUUCCAAAGAUGGGAAAAAGUGCACAUCCAGACAAGGAGCAAGCAAAAAGACAAGGAACUUGGUGCAGAGAAAAGCUGUGGCCAUUAACCCCCAUAUGAACAGCUUCAUGCAGUCCCUGAUUGAGUUCGAAUGGACGACUUCAAAGUAAAGGCCACUGUGGUCUGUCUGCCACAGUUUAAUUUUUAAUUUAUUUUUAGUGUUCAAUGAAAUUCAAGUAGAAUAUUUAAAACUAUGGGCCAGUGUUCUUUUUACCACAGUGAAAUGUUACCUUUUAGUCGAUGAUGGACUUUAAACUGAAAACUUCAAACUAUGGACCAGUGUUCUAUUUGCCAGAGUUAAAUAUGUUACAGCAGGGGUCUCCAAACUUGUUUAUACUUGUUGAUUUUAUUUUAUUUAACUUGUUUAUAUGUUUAUUAUUGUUUAAAAUCUUGUUUUAAAUAUGUUUUGUUUCAAUUAAAUGUUUUUUUUAAAUAAAAUUUUGAUACAUACAUUGCUUGGAUUGCCUUUUAAUUCAUUAUGUUUUAAUGUAGCAUUUUUACCAUAUUAAUAACUAUAGAUUUAAACCUAAAUAUCUAGCUAUUAUAUAUAAUA